rnacentral:rRNA from 1 species
GAGUUUGAUCCUGGCUCAGGACGAACGCUGGCGGCGUGCCUAAUACAUGUAAGUCGAGCGAGCGGAACCAACAGAUUUACUUCGGUAAUGACGUUGGGAAAGCGAGCGGCGGAUGGGUGAGUAACACGUGGGGAACCUGCCCCUAAGUCUGGGAUACCAUUUGGAAACAGGUGCUAAUACCGGAUAAUAAAGCAGAUCGCAUGAUCAGCUUUUGAAAGGCGGCGUAAGCUGUCGCUAAGGGAUGGCCCCGCGGUGCAUUAGCUAGUUGGUAAGGUAACGGCUUACCAAGGCGACGAUGCAUAGCCGAGUUGAGAGACUGAUCGGCCACAUUGGGACUGAGACACGGCCCAAACUCCUACGGGAGGCAGCAGUAGGGAAUCUUCCACAAUGGACGCAAGUCUGAUGGAGCAACGCCGCGUGAGUGAAGAAGGUUUUCGGAUCGUAAAGCUCUGUUGUUGGUGAAGAAGGAUAGAGGUAGUAACUGGCCUUUAUUUGACGGUAAUCAACCAGAAAGUCACGGCUAACUACGUGCCAGCAGCCGCGGUAAUACGUAGGUGGCAAGCGUUGUCCGGAUUUAUUGGGCGUAAAGCGAGCGCAGGCGGAAAAAUAAGUCUAAUGUGAAAGCCCUCGGCUUAACCGAGGAACUGCAUCGGAAACUGUUUUUCUUGAGUGCAGAAGAGGAGAGUGGAACUCCAUGUGUAGCGGUGAAAUGCGUAGA